CUAUAGUUCAGCGGUAGAGCGCCAGAUUGUGGAUCUGGUUGUCGAGGGUUCGAUCCCCUCUAG
rnacentral:tRNA from 1 species